GACGAACGCUGGCGGCGUGCUUAACACAUGCAAGUCGAACGGAAAGGCCCCUUUGGGGGUACUCGAGUGGCGAACGGGUGAGUAACACGUGAGUAACCUGCCCUUGACUUCGGGAUAACUUCAGGAAACUGGGGCUAAUACCGGAUAGGAAUCCUUGCUGCAUGGUGGGGGGUGGAAAGCUUCGGGGGUUUUGGGGGGAUUGGCGGCUUACCAGUUUGUUGGUGGGGUGGUGGCUUACCAAGGCUUUGACGGGUAGCCGGCCUGGGGGGGCGACCGGCCACAUUGGGACUGAGAUACGGCCCAGACUCCUACGGGGGGCAGCAGUGGGGAAUAUUGCAACAUGGGCGGGAGCCUGAUGCAGCAACGCCGCGUGCGGGAUGACGGCCUUCGGGUUGUAAACCGCUUUCAGCAGGGGCGAAGCUUGUGGUGACGGUACCUGCAGAAGAAGCACCGGCUAACUACGUG
rnacentral:rRNA from 1 species